UCGGGAAUCUUGCACAAUGGGCGAAAGCCUGAUGCAGCAACGCCGUGUGAGCGAGGAAGGUCUUCGGAUCGUAAAGCUCUGUUGUUGGGGACGAAGGGCGAAGGGUUAAUAGCCCCUAGCCUGACGGUACCCUUCGAGGAAGCCCCGGCUAACUACGUGCCAGCAGCCGCGGUAAUACGUAGGGGGCGAGCGUUGUCCGGAAUUAUUGGGCGUAAAGAGCUCGUAGGCGGUUGCGUAAGUCGGAUGUGAAAGCUCAGGGCUCAACCCUGAGACGCCAUCCGAUACUGCGCUGACUUGAAUCCAGUAGGGGAGUGUGGAAUUCCUGGUGUAGCGGUGAAAUGCGCAGAUAUCAGGAGGAACACCUAUGGCGAAGGCAGCACUCUGGGCUGGUAUUGACGCUGAGGAGCGAAAGCAUGGGUAGCAAACAGGAUUAGAUACCCCGGUAGUCC
rnacentral:rRNA from 1 species